rnacentral:rRNA from 1 species
AUUGAACGCUGGCGGCAUGCCUUACACAUGCCAGUCGAACGGCAGCACGGGUGCUUGCACCUGGUGGCGAGUGGCGAACGGGCGAGUAAUACAUCGGAACAUGUCCUGUAGUGGGGGAUAGCCCGGCGAAAGCCGGAUUAAUACCGCAUACGAUCCACGGAUGAAAGCGGGGGACCUUCGGGCCUCGCGCUAUAGGGUUGGCCGAUGGCUGAUUAGCUAGUUGGUGGGGUAAAGGCCUACCAAGGCGACGAUCAGUAGCUGGUCUGAGAGGACGACCAGCCACACUGGGACUGAGACACGGCCCAGACUCCUACGGGAGGCAGCAGUGGGGAAUUUUGGACAAUGGGCGAAAGCCUGAUCCAGCAAUGCCGCGUGUGUGAAGAAGGCCUUCGGGUUGUAAAGCACUUUUGUCCGGAAAGAAAUCCUUGGCUCUAAUACAGUCGGGGGAUGACGGUACCGGAAGAAUAAGCACCGGCUAACUACGUG